CGCCGCCCCGCAGCGCCCCCUCCCGACGGAACACCGAGUAAGGCCACCCCCUGUCCACCCAAAUCUAGGAUGAGAUCGGACCUCUCGCCUAGUUCUGGAGGAGAGUAGGCAAAUCAUUCAAUCAUCAUUCAUUUUUUUCAUAUAGUCCACGGUGUGCCAGGGUGACACCCAGGGGCAUCCAGCAGUGAACUGGUCACUUUCGGCUCACUCCCACACCAAAUCUGACUCAAUGUGUUUUAUUCCUGGGUACCAUCUAAAAUACAAAAAGGGAUGAAACCAGACUGGCUAUGCAAUAACUACUCUUAGAAAAUCCAGUUUCUUACAGUGUCCAGGAGAGAAUCGUUAGAGUUUAGUGGGAUGGAUGUACAGAGUCCUGGGAGGAGAGGUCGGAGAAACGUCAUCAAGGAGCAUGCAAUUGAGGAGGCAGCAAAAGCGCCCAGAAGGAGGGAGCUGCGACUUGAUUGUUGACAGGUUCUUGAAGAGAACAGUGAACACACAGGAACUUCUAGUCCAGGAUGCCACUAUGGAGGGCCUUACUCGUCUUCCGUCUCUGGAGUGAUAAGCUUCCUUAUAAACUGCACAUCUACCGGUAAUGCAGAUGUGCCUUCAACAAGGGAAUGGUUUGUAAGGAAGAGGGAUCAGUAACUUACACUUGAUUCUCUCUAUUAUCAAUAAGGACUAACAGAAAGGUUUUUGAAAAGAAAUAGUCUCUUCUCUUGGUCCUUCAGGCACUACAGACCCUAGACUGUAUAGAAGGAAACCUUCAUCAGAUUUCUUUUUUUUAAUAUGCGUUUGGCUUUUUGUUAUUACUAUGUUUUAAUAGAUAUUUAUUUAUUUAUGGCUGCGCUGCAUCUUCGUUGCUGGGCGAGGGUUUUCUCUGGUUGCAGCGAGUGGGAACUACUCUCCAUCGCAUGUGUCAGCUUCUCAUUGUGCUGAUUUCUCUCACUGCAGAGCGUGUGUUCUAGGACUCAUUCAGUAGUCGUGGUGCAUAGGCUUAGCUGCUCUGAGACAUGUGGGAUCUUCCUGGAUCAGGGAUCCACCCUGUGUCCCCUGUGUUGGCAGGUGGAUUCUUAGCCACUGGACCACCAGGGAAAUCCUCCAUCAGAUUUCUUGAUGAACAAAGUCUACUGAACCAGGCAAGCUUCCUGCUGAAGAGAGGACUGUCAUAAUACUAGAAGUGAGAUCCUGAAUGUUCCCAGACCUUUAUGAACUGUCAAAUGGAUCAUUCUAGGAUAUAAUUUCCUCUGUGAACUGGAGCAAUUAUGUAAUAUUAUACCAUGUACUUCCUAAGUUUUUCAUGAUAUUAGAAACCAUGAGGUUAAAUCUAAGAAUGUUGAGUUUACUGUUUUUUUUUUUUAAUUUAAAAUAUAAAGUUAUUAGAUUUCUCUGGCAGCCCAGUGGUUAAGACUCUGACCUUCCAUUAUAGCCGCAAGGGUUCAAUCCCUGUUUGGGAAACUAAGAUCCCACAUGCCUCACAGUGUGGUUAAAAAAAAAAAAAAAAGUGAAGUUAUCAUCAAUAAGUUGGAAAAGUUGCAAAAAUAUGAGUAAGAAAUCAAAGAUCUCAGCAGCUAAAUUAAUGAAAUUCACACAUCUCAGUACUUACCCUAGGUGUUUUAGGGGGAUUCUUGGUCAAUAAUUCCCCUUGCUUUGCCAGGUCACAAAUUAAGUUGUUAAUUCAUUUUAUUGAGAAGUGAAUGAAAGAUUCAGAACUCUCAGAGACAAACAUAAUUUAAAAGGCAUUUUCAAUAGAAUCCCUUUUGCUGUCUACUCAAGGUAACAUUAAAUAUUGAUCAGUAAUGUUAUUGCUAGAUUUUUUUCCUUUUGUCUCAAAGGUCUCAAUGGGUAUAGUUGCCUAACCCCUUUCUUUAACCAAGAUGAUUCUCAAUAGACAUCCAAUUACAACAUUUCCUUUCUCAUUUAGACACUGAAAAGUCAACAUUAUUUUAAUAGAAAUAUCACAAAGUAGCCUCUAUCUGUAAUUUUUCAAGACACAGAGCAAAUGUAAGAUUUUUCAAAGGUAUCUUUUUUCUUUUUUUUUUCUAUUAGGAAAAAUGGAAAGAGGACUAUGCAUUAUCUUUAAAAAAAUUUUUUUGUUUUUUAAUUUUUACAAUAUUGUGUUGGUUUCUGCCAUACAACAAAGUGAAUCAGCCAUAAUUAUACAUAUAUCCCCUCUAUCUUGAGCCUUCCUCCCUUCUCCCCAUCAUACCCCUCUAGGGCAUCACAGACUGGGCUCCCUGUGCUGUAUAAAAACUUCUCAUCAGUUAACCAUGUAUCAUUACACAUGAUAGUGUAUUUUAGGGCUUCCUUGGUGCCCAGAUGGUAAAGAAUCUGCCUGCAAUACAGGAGACCUGGGUUCAACCCCUGGGCUGGGAAGAUCCCCUGGAGGAGGGCAUGGCAACCGACUUCAGCAUUCUUGCCUGGAGAAUUCCAUGGACAGAGGAGCCUGUGGGCUGCAGUCCAUGGGGUGACGAAAGAGUCAGACACAACUGAGCAUAGCACUGCAGAGUGUGCAUAUGUAUAUAUAUAUAUUGAUGCUACUUUCUCCAUUCGUCCCACUCACUCCCUCCCUUUCCUACUAUGUCCACAAGUUCAUUUUCUAGACCUGAGUCUCCAAUUCUUCCCUGAAAAUAGGUUUAUCAAUACCAUUUUUUCUAGAUUCCAUAUAUAUAUAUGCAUUAAUAAACUGUAUUUCUUCUUCUCUUUCUGACUUCA
rnacentral:lncRNA from 1 species